CCGAACACAAACAGCUGCCCAGCCUGGCCACCUCCUAGGCAAACAGCCCGGCUGGCCCAUCAGCAAGGAGAGUUCCUGAUAUGUGCUCGUCCAAGGGCACAGAUGGUGACAAGACAGACUGGUGUCCACCGCCAUGCCCGCCUGCCUGGGUACUGGGAAACCUGCAGAGGAACAGCCCCAGCGAGCUGACUUAUAGACCCCCUCCCCAGGAUGGGACUCAACAGUGAACCUCAAAACAGAGAGUCGAAGCUGCACAGACUCCACAGACGGGCGCCACCCGGCUCCCCCCGCACCCCCUCCAGAGGGCUCAGCAGCGACCCUGCAGGGGAGGGUUUUUAAUGCAAGAGGGGAACAGUGGGGGAGGAAUGAGAGGGAGUCAUGGCUGGAAGUGGCCUGCCCAGCUCUGGCCUUGCACUGCGAACCAUGCCCAUUAGGCGGCUGCAUGGAAAGCCCCCGGCUGUGGUUCUUGUGGCUCCACCAAGACCCCCUUUGUCCCAACGAGAAGGCUGUACAUCGGCGUGAACGCUCCAGAGAUAACAGGGGAAAUAAAACUGCUCCCUGCUUUG